UACGUAGGGGGCAAGCGUUAUCCGGAUUUAUUGGGCGUAAAGAGCUCGUAGGCGGCCGUUCGCGUCGGAUGUGAAAGCUCAGGCUCAACUCUGAGAUGCCAUUCGAUACGGGACGGCUAGAGGUAGGUAGGGGAGAGUGGAAUUCCUGGUGUAGCGGUGAAAUGCGCAGAUAUCAGGAGGAACACCGAUGGCGAAGGCAGGUCUCUGGGCAUUAACUGACGCUGAGGAGCGAAAGCAUGGGGAGCGAACAGG
rnacentral:rRNA from 1 species